GCUAAGAGGCAGCAGUGGGCGACUGGAAGAAUGACUCCUUUAGUUCCAUAAAUUCAUAUGCAAUCCUCAUACUGUGGCUUAGGCGUGGAUGUGAUAAUUGUUUAACUGAAAGAUUACUGCUGGGAGCAAGAGCUCUCCAUGCAGUGUUGACAAAAAAACAAUCUGAAAGAGAGGUCUGACAUGACUUUGGGAGUAGAAGAAAGUGGAAAGUAUCUCCUGAAUCCUGAGAGAGGACUGCAGCUUUUACCUGACAAAUGAUACGAGGGAAGAAAUGAGCUCUCCCUCCCUUUUCCUGCUGCAGUCCUGUUGUGUUUGGAUGCCCAUAUGGUUUCAGGUCACUUGUAAUAGACAAGCUGCUUGUGAUGCAUUCCAUGCUGGGACCAGCUAUAAGCCAUGCCUCUGCUGAAUUUAGGAAUAAAGAGCUAGUCCAUAAAAGGUGGAAUCAGAGGAGUGGCCUCAGGGGCAUAAUGGUGCAUUACUUCUGUGAGAUCGGAGUGUUGCACUAAAAGAUAUAUAUUGUUACAGAAAAACUGC